rnacentral:rRNA from 1 species
AACGAACGCUGGCGGCAUGCCUAACACAUGCAAGUCGAACGAGACCUUCGGGUCUAGUGGCGCACGGGUGCGUAACGCGUGGGAACCUGCCCUUAGGUUCGGAAUAACUCCCCGAAAGGGGUGCUAAUACCGGAUAAUGUCUUCGGACCAAAGAUUUAUCGCCUUUGGAUGGGCCCGCGUUGGAUUAGCUAGUUGGUAGGGUAAAAGCCUACCAAGGCGACGAUCCAUAGCUGGUCUGAGAGGAUGAUCAGCCACACUGGGACUGAGACACGGCACAGACUCCUACGGGAGGGAGAAGAGGGGAAUAAUGGAAAAGGGGGGAAAGGAUGAACAAGCAAUGACGGGGGAGUGAUGAAGGGCUUAGGGUUGUAAAGCUCUUUUACCCGGGAUGAUAAUGACAGUACCGGGAGAAUAAGCUCCGGCUAACUACGCG